ACAGGAUGCUAGCGAGGUCCUCCCCCUCAGUGUCCCCUCUAGUCAGUGGUCACAGUGGGCAGGGAGCCCUGGGUGCCACCCAGCCCAUGGGCCAGCCCCUCCUCCCUGCACAGCCCCUGCUGUGACAAACUGGUGGAUCUCAGGAGUGGGGCAACCCCGAGGAACAAGCGGCUGCUGACUCUCCAGACCUUCAACCCAGGGGCCCUGUGGUGGAGGCAACCUGAGCACCACCGGAGUCUCCACCUGCCCCAGGCCUCUGUCAAGCUCUGUGUGGAUUCCGGGAGCCUUGAAAGCGUCUCCCUGCCGCAGCGCUGCUCAGGCUGUGCCUUUCAGGGUGCCAGAGUCACACAAGUAAGAGCCAAGGAAAUUCGCGCCUCCUCUCCCAGGGUGUGAGCUGCUGAGGACACUGGGGACGGCGACGCAGAGCUGCAGAGCUGCACUUCUCAGCCCCAGGCUGAAGCCCAAGACCCAGGCGGCUCUUCGAGGUCCUUCUUGCUGUGUCCUCUCGUGGCGAAGGGCGUGGGGGACAGUGCGGCCUCCUGAGCCGCUUUGGGAAGGGCCUUCCUCCCCUCUACCAGGAGGGUCCCCGAGGCCGGCCAGCUCCACACGGCGACGCCUGGUUUCCUGGGGGCCACCUCCAGAGCACAGAGGCCACUGUGCAGAAAGAGGCCGGCAGAGUGACCGGCAGACAGCUGCGCCCCGAGCGCCCACUCCGUCCACUUCAUGGACGCCCCCCGAGUCACCUUUCUUGGCUGAGACGCGGGUGACCCGGGGACGUGGAGGAGGGAGGCCCUGUCCUUGCCUCAUGCUGCUCCGGAUGCAGCUUCCCAAGCCGCUUCCAGGGCUCUGCGCCCUGCCCCCGCCCAGCACAGGCCCCGGGGGCUGCCUCAAGUCACCUCUAGGUUACCCAGGACACGGACACCACGAAGCGUUCUGCGGCAUUGUUGGGAAGUAAGACAAGAGAACAGUCUGCUCAGCUCCGCACAGACAGCUUUGUCCGGAAGCUUCCGGUCCACGGGUUGGUUGGAACCUCGGAUGCAGAACCCAGGGACGCGGAGGCUGAUGGGACCAUGCAGGUGGCAUCGUGCUUUCUGUCUGGCUGAAGGAAGAUGCUCCCCAGCCCUGCGACUCCAGGC
rnacentral:lncRNA from 1 species